AGGGUGCCAGUGAACCGCACCUCUAAUACACAAUAUUGGGCACAGUUCACGAAGCUUUACCCGAGACGCCGCAUUGCAGUUCGGGAACUUCAUGCUGUGCCUGUGUGGCGGAGGUUUGUUGCCCACAUUCACACGGAUUACGAGAGUUGUCGGCUUCGCAGUUCUCAUCGCUACAAUCGUG